rnacentral:rRNA from 1 species
UGAACCUUCGGGGAACGAUAACGGCGUCNAGNGNCGGACGGGUGAGUAAUGCCUAGGAAAUUGCCCUGAUGUGGGGGAUAACCAUUGGAAACGAUGGCUAAUACCGCAUAAUGCCUACGGGCCAAAGAGGGGGACCUUCGGGCCUCUCGCGUCAGGAUAUGCCUAGGUGGGAUUAGCUAGUUGGUGAGGUAAUGGCUCACCAAGGCGACGAUCCCUAGCUGGUCUGAGAGGAUGAUCAGCCACACUGGAACUGAGACACGGUCCAGACUCCUACGGGAGGCAGCAGUGGGGAAUAUUGCACAAUGGGCGCAAGCCUGAUGCAGCCAUGCCGCGUGUGUGAAGAAGGCCUUCGGGUUGUAAAGCACUUUCAGUCGUGAGGAAGGUAGUGUAGUUAAUAGCUGCAUUAUUUGACGUUAGCGACAGAAGAAGCACCGGCUAACUCCGUGCCAGCAGCCGCGGUAAUACGGAGGGUGCGAGCGUUAAUCGGAAUUACUGGGCGUAAAGCGCAUGCAGGUGGUUUGUUAAGUCAGAUGUGAAAGCCCGGGGCUCAACCUCGGAAUAGCAUUUGAAACUGGCAGACUAGAGUACUGUAGAGGGGGGUANAAUUUCNGGUGUAGCGGUGAAAUGCGUAGAGAUCUGAAGGAAUACCGGUGGNGAAGGCGGCCCCCUGGNNAGAUACUGACACUCNNAUGCNAAAGCGUGGGGAGCAAACAGGAUUA